GGUGGAGAGAAGGGGAAGAAACACGAGGGGAGAAGAAUGAAGCCGAGGGACGAUCAGGGGGAAACGAGGGGGAAGGAAAAGAUGCCGGCUGGCAAGCAGAUGGUUGCCCCGUUUAUUGGUUUAUUCGUUGCUUCAGCCAUGACGUUCCUCGUCCGGCCAUGAAACAAGCCGGAGAUUCUCUCCUUGUGUUGGAGAGUAUCAUGCAACGAGGCUACGAAUGCUCUUCAUCUCUCCUAUUAAAACGCAUCCGCGAGCUAGAUUCACAUUGCAGCAACUAUGAUGUCCGGCAACGCAGUUACUUCACAUUUAUGAAUUUCUACUCCGUAAACAUUUGCUUAUUUUGCAUCUGACGUUUUACAUACGAGCUCAAUAUAUUACGCUAAUGAAAAGUAUUAUGUCAAGAGACGUGUUUGCUACAAAAUUACAGACAUAAGCGAAUAUUAUAAAUGAUAUUCACUAAUGGCGUCUUGGGAACGAAUGCUUGGAUCAAUAAGAGGACGACUUGUUUACGAAAUUCAUAUAAUCUUUCGUCUUGCAAAUGAUCAUCCCCAUCUACAAUGACCUUUUCUACGGCUGUCUCCAGGGACAAAGAUCAACACCUCAACCCUAAAUACAUAUAUGUAUAAUCGAUUAUACUCCAAAAGACGAUCUGCGCGACAUGACCAAGUAACCUGGAAAUGAAAGGUACAUCGACACGUACAGGAAUAAAAGGAGCUGUACCGCUAAGAAGACGAAGAAGAAGAAGGAGAAGAAGAAGAAACCAAGGAGAAUGCGACCUUGCUACAUUCAGCUGUGUCAUCCUUGAGCCGUUAACGCUCAGGUGGUUUCGAUCCCAGGAACGAGCAUCAAUCAUCAUCGGUAGUGCAGGUGUAAUGUGAUCAUUGUCACCGAGAUAACCCAGUACGAUAUUCACUUACGAUGCGUGUCAAGUGACAUAACAGAGUUUAUCUAUAACAGCGUAUCUAAAUACUGAAAGAAACUGCUCCAAUGUUUGUGCCUAGCACAUUAUUUGUUAAGGCAGGUCUUUGAGAAGGCAUUACGAAACAAUCAUCCAUAUACGGGUUGCAGAUAUUAUACGCAAAGCUAAGAUUGCAUACACCUCUGUGUGUGUACACAUUAUUAUAUGAUUUACAUAACUUAUAUAUGAAUAUAUAAUUUUUUUGCA